rnacentral:rRNA from 1 species
CAAUAGCGUAUAUUAAAGUUGUUGCGGUUAAAAAGCUCGUAGUUGGAUUUCUGCCGAGGACGUCCGGUCCGCCCUCUGGGUGUGUACAUGGUACGGCCUGGGCAUCUUCUUGGAAAACGUAUCUGCACUUGACUGUGUGGUGCGGUAUCCAGGACUUUUACUUUGAGGAAAUUAGAGUGUUUCAAGCAGGCCUACGCCUUGAAUACAUUAGCAUGGAAUAAUAAGAUAGGACCUCGGUUCUAUUUUGUUGGUUUCUAGAGCUGAGGUAAUGAUUAAUAGGGAUAGUUGGGGGCAUUCGUAUUUAACUGUCAGAGGUGAGAUUCUUGGAUUUGUUAAAGACGGACUACUGCGAAAGCAUUUGCCAAGGAUGUUUUCAUUGA